GGGGGAUUGUUUUGUUUUUUUUAACAAAAACCAAAUAGUAUUUAAAUAAAGCAUUGUAUUUGGUUAGAGAAACCACGCCCCCUCGCCCGAUUCCUCUCCAGUGACGUCACUUACGCUAAUUACUCCCGCAAGUAUUAUACCCCCAUCAGCUUUUACUCUUUAUGUGAAACGCUACACCUACGGACUCCAAACACCAUGACCACUACAAAGAACGGGAGCAGUCAUGG